AACGAACGCUGGCGGCGUGGAUUAGGCAUGCAAGUCGAACGAGAAAGAGACCUUCGGGUCUUGAGUACAGUGGCGAACUGGUGAGUAUAAGGUGGGCAACGUGCCCGCGAGUUGGGGAUAACCUCCAGAAAUGGGGAUUAAUACCGAAUGUGGCCAUGACCUCGCAUGGGGACAUGACUAAAGAUUUAUCGCUCGCGGAUCGGCCCGCCCCGGAUUAGCUUGUUGGUGAGGUAACGGCUCACCAAGGCUACGAUCCGUAGGUGGCCUGAGAGGGUGGUCACCCACACUGGGACUGAGAUACGGCCCAGACUCCUACGGGAGGCAGCAGUCUAGAGGCUUCGGCAAUGGGGGAAACCCUGACCGAGCGACGCCGCGUGUGGGACGAAGGUCUUACGAUUGUAAACCACUGUCAGUGGGGAAGAAUGCCUGUAUGGACAAUACGGGAGUGACGGUACCCACGGAGGAAGCCCCGGUAACUACGUG
rnacentral:rRNA from 1 species